AUCAGUGAUGAAAACCUGGAAUAGGAAGUCAAUUAGCAUUAGUCAGAUGCGAUAACUGAUGAUUUUUCUGAUCCAGUUUUCUGAGU